rnacentral:hammerhead_ribozyme from 1 species
AUCCAGCUGACGAGUCCCGAAUAAGACGAAACGCGCAUCCUGGAC